UACGUAGGGGGCGAGCGUUGUCCGGAUUUAUUGGGCGUAAAGAGCGUGUAGGCGGCCAGGUAGGUCUGCUGUGAAAACUCGAGGCUCAACCUCGAGACGUCGGCGGAAACCAUCUGGCUAGAGUCCGGAAGAGGAGUGUGGAAUUCCUGGUGUAGCGGUGAAAUGCGCAGAUAUCAGGAGGAACACCAAUGGCGAAGGCAGCACUCUGGGACGUGACUGACGCUGAGACGCGAAAGCGUGGGGAGCAAACGGG
rnacentral:rRNA from 1 species